GACGGGGGAUGCAAGCGUUAUCCGGAAUCACUGGGCGUAAAGCGUCUGUAGGUGGUGAUGCAAGUCACUGGUGCAAAACUCUGGCUCAACCGGAGGAAAGCCAGUGAAACUGCAUGACUAGAGUGUGGGAGAGGUAGAAUGAAUUCCCUGAGUAGCGGUGAAAUGCGUAGAUACAGGGAAGAACACCGGAUGCGAAAGCGUUCUAUUGGAACACAACUGACACUGAGAUACGAAAGCUAGGGGAGCGAAUGGG
rnacentral:rRNA from 1 species